rnacentral:misc_RNA from 1 species
AUUUUAUAUAUUAUGAUAUCAAUUUCAUCUCCACCCAUCUCUCUCUCUCUCUCUCUCUCUCUCUCUCUCUCUCUCUCUCUCUCUCUCUCUCUCUCUCUCUUAGGAUACAAAACUGCUUUUCAAUAUACAUGUACGUAAUAUUUACAAGAUACAAUGUGAUUUUUCUGAUUUAUUUAUAGACCAAAUGUGACAGCUGUGGAGAACAUUUUUGUUAUAACAAGACUGAGGGUUAUGCAGUCGUGUUUAAGAGCUGUAAACACACAUUGUGUUCGAGAUGCUACACAGACUUGACAAAGACGGUUGACGGUGUUGAAUGUUCUAGAUCAUGUCGGAAAAAAUCAUCUUAUCCAGAUUUACUAAAGAUAAACUGUGCCAGUGGGAAGAUAUGCUGCAUGGUUUGUAAUGACUGUCUGGAAGGAUGGUGUAAGGAAUUCGACUGCCAUCAUCCUGUUUGCAAUAAUUGCUCACAAAUGCCUCGGUCAUGUAAGCUUUGCCCACAGCCAAGCGAACAGACGUGUAAAAGACCCGUUUUCAUCAAAGACCAGUCGAUAACCAGAGAACGUUUUGCUACUGAUAUUGAUGAGGAUGUACGCUGUCAAGAUUGCAAGCAACAAAAGGGUGAGAUCAAGCUUUGUCUGUGUGACCAUGUCGUGUGUCGUUCCUGUCUAGCCAAAGCGGAAAAACACGAAUUAUCAGUGGAGUGCCCGCUAUCAUCAUUAUGUCGAAUGCGAUAUCCGUUAGAUGUUCUAAAGAGUCCUAAGACAAAGGAGAGGGACACCUCGCCACCAUUUGGAAUGCCGUCUGUGGGUUUGACCUGUUAUGCAAGCUGCAUCCUUCAGGUAUUAAGUAGCACCCCAUCUUUUGUCACGUUACUCGCUCAAAAUGCACCAAAAAAGUAGGAGUCCUUUUCAGAUCUUUUACUGGCCAUAUUGAAGAACAGAUCUGAAGUCAAGGACAAGGAACAAGACAUCAUCCACCUCCUGGUGUUCUUGGAGUCCAUUGAUGGAACAUUUGAUAGAUUCAGUCAAAACGAUUGUGCUUCUUUUCUUCAUGUUUUGCUGGAUGCACUAGACAGGGAUGAGCAAACACAAGGUGAUUUUGACGUUUUUUUCGUUGACAUGAUUGACGAAAUAGAAUGCAGCACCUGUAUGUGUAAGGAACAUGCUGAUUUCCAGCGAGUUUUGGGCAUCCAAUUAAGAACCAACAUGUCCGAGAAUCUGGACAAAGACAAUUUAUCCGAAGAGAUUUUUGAGAAGGGAUCACUUAAGUGCUUCAAAUGUCAGAGUAACGAGAAGCUGGUGAAGAAAACUAAGAUGUUAAGCUGUCCUCCAGUGUUGGUGUUUCAAAUUCAACGUAUUGUGGAGACAGGAAAAGGUUUCUUUAAAAGAACAGACCCUGUUGAAUUUAGUUUUGAUCUAAAAGUGGUAGGCCGUGAAGAUGAGAAACGUGUAGAGGUAGAUUACAAGUUGUAUGCGGCUGUUUAUCAUAGCGGUGACUUGGAGGCGGGCCACUACUACAGCGCCGUGAGGCGUGGGUCUGACUGGUACAUCUGUGAUAAUGAACACAUCUGGAAGUGUAGGGAUGCAAAAGAAGUGCUCAAAUUUGAAGACGCAUAUAUGCUAUUUUACGAACAGAACUGAACUUAAUUUGUUUCACAUUUUUUGACCAGCAAAAUGUUCUUUUUUAGGACUAAUUCCAAGGUUUUUAUUAUUAUACAGUGUAAUUACAUUUUUUUUAAUCUGAAGAUUGUAAUUAAUCAAAAUAAAAGAAUGAGAAAAC